GGGAAUUUUCCGCAAUGGGCGAAAGCCUGACGGAGCAACGCCGCGUGAGGGAAGAAGGCCUCUGGGCUGUAAACCUCUUUUCUCAAGGAAGGAGAUCUGACGGUACUUGAGGAAUAAGCCACGGCUAACUCCGUGCCAGCAGCCGCGGUAAUACGGGAGUGGCAAGCGUUAUCCGGAAUUAUUGGGCGUAAAGCGUCCGCAGGCGGCCUUUCAAGUCUGCUGUUAAAGCGUGGAGCUUAACUCCAUUAAGGCAGUGGAAACUGUUGGGCUUGAGUGUGGUAGGGGCAGAGGGAAUUCCCGGUGUAGCGGUGAAAUGCGUAGAUAUCGGGAAGAACACCAGUGGCGAAGGCGCUCUGCUGGGCCAUAACUGACGCUCAUGGACGAAAGCCAGGGGAGCGAAAGGGAUUAGAUACCCCUGUAGUCA
rnacentral:rRNA from 1 species